UUUGAAGUCAAAUUCACAAAUCAAAAUCCAUCAAAAAAACAUUAUGCUAUAAACAAUUUUCUUUUCUCAUUAGAAAUUUUGGAAAGAGAGCUUCGUUUCACAAUCUUAAGAUUACACGUGUCCAUGUCAAGUAGAAAGCAGAGAGAGCCAUUAGAGAAGAAGAAAAAAACAAAGAAAAGAAUGGCCACAACCCACAAGAAAAUCACUCAAAGAUUCCUCUUUCUUUCUUUUUUUUUUUUAAUUUCUUUUUCACCCUUUUUCAGCCAAUUACUACAGUUGUACUCUAAAACCCCCUUUUCCUUGUUUUAACCAGACACCUUCAAUGCGUGUAUAGGUACGUUUUUAUCUUCCUGCAUUUUCUUCAUAGUUUUCUUCUUCAAAAGUAUAUAUGGCUAUCUAGAUUUAAACAUAUAUAUAUAUAUAUGCGUUGUGCUGUAGAAAGCAGAUUUGGUCUUUGUCCAGAGGU
rnacentral:lncRNA from 1 species